rnacentral:rRNA from 1 species
GACGAACGCUGGCGGCGUGCUUAACACAUGCAAGUCGAACGGAAAGGCCCUGCUUUUGUGGGGUGUUCGAGUGGCGAACGGGUGAGUAACACGUGAGUAACCUGCCCUUGACUUUGGGAUAACUUCAGGAAAGUGGGGCUAAUACCGGAUAGGAGCUCCUGCUGCAUGGUGGGGGUUGGAAAGCUCCGGCGGUUGGGGAUGGACUCGCGGCUUAUCAGCUUGUUGGUGGGGUAGUGGCUUACCAAGGCUUUGACGGGUAGCCGGCAUGAGAGGGUGACCGGCCACAAUGGGACUGAGAUACGGCCCAGACUCCUACGUGAGGCAGCAGUGGGAAAUAUUGCACAAUGGGCGGAAGCGUGAUGCAGCGACGUCGCGUGCGUGAAGACGGCCUUCUGGUUGUAAACCGCUUUCGCCUGUGACGAAGCGUGAGUGACGGUAAUGAGUAAAGAAGCACCGGCUAACUACGUG